rnacentral:rRNA from 1 species
UACGAAGGGGGCUAGCGUUGUUCGGAAUUACUGGGCGUAAAGCGUGCGCAGGCGGCUGCUCAAGUCAGGGGUGAAAGCCCAGAGCUCAACUCUGGAAUUGCCUUUGAGACUGAGUGGCUUGAGUACGGGAGAGGUGAGUGGAAUUCCCAGUGUAGAGGUGAAAUUCGUAGAUAUUGGGAAGAACACCGGUGGCGAAGGCGGCUCGCUGGCCCGAUACUGACGCUGAGGCACGAAAGCGUGGGGAGCAAACAGG